rnacentral:rRNA from 1 species
UACGUAGGGUGCGAGCGUUAAUCGGAAUUACUGGGCGUAAAGAGCGCGCAGGCGGUCGUUCAAGUCGCGUGUGAAAGCCCCCGGCUCAACUGGGGAGGGUCACGCGAUACUGAUCGACUCGAAGGCAGGAGAGGGUAGUGGAAUUCCCGGUGUAGUGGUGAAAUGCGUAGAUAUCGGGAGGAACACCAGUGGCGAAGGCGACUACCUGGCCUGUUUCUUGACGCUGAGGCGCGAAAGCUAGGGGAGCAAACAGG